GACGAACGCUGGCGGCGUGCUUAACACAUGCAAGUCGAACGGUAAGGCCCUUCGGGGUACACGAGUGGCGAACGGGUGAGUAACACGUGGGUGAUCUGCCCUGCACUUCGGGAUAAGCCUGGGAAACUGGGUCUAAUACCGGAUAGGACCCUGGGAUGCAUGUCCUGGGGUGGAAAGCUUUUGCGGUGUGGGAUGGGCCCGCGGCCUAUCAGCUUGUUGGUGGGGUGAUGGCCUCACAAGGCGACGACGGGUAGCCGGCCUGAGAGGGUGACCGGCCACACUGGGACUGAGAUACGGCCCAGACUCCUACGGGAGGCAGCAGUGGGGAAUAUUGCACAAUGGGCGCAAGCCUGAUGCAGCGACGCCGCGUGAGGGAUGACGGCCUUCGGGUUGUAAACCUCUUUCAGCACCGACGAAGCGCAAGUGACGGUAGGUGCAGAAAAAGGACCGGCCAACUACGUGCCAGCCGCCGCCGUAA
rnacentral:rRNA from 1 species